AUUGAACGCUGGCGGCAGGCCUAACACAUGCACGUCGAGCUAGCGGCGGACGGGUGAGUAAUGUAUGGGGACUGCCCGAUCGAGGGGGAUAACUACUGGAAACGGUAGCUAAUACCGCAUACUAUCGGAUAACCCAUAUGGGAUUAGCUAUUAGGUGAGGUAAUGGCUCACCUAGGCGACGAUCCCUAGCUGGUCUGAGAGGAUGAUCAGCCACACUGGGACUGGGACACGGCCCAGACUCCUACGGAGGCAGCAGUGGGGGAUAUUGCACCAUGGGCGAAAGCCGGAUGCAGCGACGCCGCGUGGGGGAUGAAGGCUUUCGGGUUGUAAACCUCUUUCGCUAUCGAACGGGUAGGUGGAGAAGAAGCGCCGGCUAACUACGUGCCAGCAGCCGCGGUAAUAC
rnacentral:rRNA from 1 species